UCAGGCCUAACACAUGCAAGUCGAGGGGUAGCAGGAUUAAGCUUGCUUAAUUGCUGACGACCGGCGCACGGGUGCGUAACGCGUAUGCAACUUACCUUAUACUGGGGUAUAGCCCGGAGAAAUUCGGAUUAAUCCCCCAUAGUACUGUUUUCCUGCAUGGUAGAAUAGUUAAAGCGUCAGCGGUAUAAGAUGGGCAUGCGUCCUAUUAGCUAGAUGGUGAGGUAACGGCUCAUCCAUGGCUACGAUAGGUAGGGGGCCUGAGAGGGUGGUCCCCCACACUGGUACUGAGACACGGACCAGACUCGUACGGGAGGCAGCAGUGAGGAAUAUUGGUCAAUGGGCGCA
rnacentral:rRNA from 1 species